CAAUAGCGUAUAUUAAAGUUGUUGCAGUUAAAAAGCUCGUAGUUGGAUUUGUGGCGUACGGUGUGUUCCGGGCACUUGUUGUCUGAGUAACCUGCUGUUGCCAUCCUUGGGUGGAACCUGUGUGGCAUUAGGUUGUCGUGCAGGGGAUGCCCAUCAUUUACUGUGAAAAAAUUAGAGUGUUCAAAGCAGGCUUAUGCCGUUGAAUAUAUUAGCAUGGAAUAACGAGAUAGGACUUUUUUGCUAUUUUGUUGGUUUGCGCAAGAAGGUAAUGAUUAAUAGGGACAGUUGGGGGUAUUCGUAUUCCAUUGUCAGAGGUGAAAUUCUUGGAUUUUUGGAAGACGAACUACUGCGAAAGCAUUUACCAAGGAUGUUUUCAUUAA
rnacentral:rRNA from 1 species